rnacentral:rRNA from 1 species
AUUGAACGCUGGCGGCAGGCCUAACACAUGCAAGUCGAGCGGAUGAAGGGAGCUUGCUCCUGGAUUCAGCGGCGGACGGGUGAGUAAUUCCUAGGAAUCUGCCCGGUAGUGGGGGAUAACGUCCGGAAACGGGCGCUAAUACCGCAUACGUCCUGAGGGAGAAAGGGGGGGAUCUUCGGACCUCACGCUAUUAGCUGAGCCUAGGUCGGAUUAGCUAGUUGGUGGGGUAAAGGCCUACCAAGGCGACGAUCCGUAACUGGUCUGAGAGGAUGAUCAGUCACACUGGAACUGAGACACGGUCCAGACUCCUACGGGAGGCAGCAGUAGGGAAUAUUGGACAAUGGGCGAAAGCCUGAUCCAGCCAUGCCGCGUGUGUGAAGAAGGUCUUCGGAUUGUAAAGCACUUUAAGUUGGGAGGAAGGGCAGUAAGUUAAUACCUUGCUGUUUUGACGGUACCAACAGAAUAAGCACCGGCUAACUUCGUG